AUUGAACGCUGGCGGCAUGCUUUACACAUGCAAGUCGAACGGUAACAGGCCUUCGGGUGCUGACGAGUGGCGAACGGGUGAGUAAUGCAUCGGAACGUGCCCAGAGGUGGGGGAUAACGCAGCGAAAGCUGUGCUAAUACCGCAUGUGAUCUGAGGAUGAAAGCGGGGGACCAAGCAGCAAGGUUUGGCCUCGCGCCUCUGGAGGGGCCGAUGUCAGAUUAGGUAGUUGGUGGGGUAAAGGCCUACCAAGCCGAUGAUCUGUAGCUGGUCUGAGAGGACGACCAGCCACACUGGGACUGAGACACGGCCCAGACUCCUACGGGAGGCAGCAGUGGGGAAUUUUCGGCAAUGGGCGCAAGCCUGACCCAGCAACGCCGCGUGCGGGAAGAAGGCCUUCGGAUUGUAAAGCUCUUUUGUUCGGAACGAAAAGCGUAUGGCUAAUCCCUUAUGCUGAUGACGGUACCUUAAGAAAAAGCACCGGCUAACUACGUG
rnacentral:rRNA from 1 species